UUAUUCGCUAAACUCUAAAUCGUAACAAAUUAAAAUCUGAUGGCAAAAUGUAGGCAAAAGUAAUUAUAGUCAUUAGGUGUCAUAGUCAUAACUUGGCUGUUUUUGGCUGCAUUUGACUAUUCACAGGGUUAUUCAUUAAAGUCUCAUUGGCCCCUUACAAAACCAUACGACUGUGUAUAUUCUGUGUAUAUUCUGACUGCAAAAUAAAGACUAUCUUCAUAAGAAGUCCGAAGUUUGUCUGGAUUUCAGCUAAAAAGCUAAAAUGCAGAAAAUGUGGGCAUCGGACAUGUAAAAGGACACAAUAUUCACCAGAAGAACUACAGCUUAAUGUAGCUGUUCUGGUAAUUAUAGUCCGUAUCUUCAGGCUUUUUGCUGUAAAAACUGCCUUUUCAGAGCAAAACGCAGUGUUUACAUUGUUGCCUAGGAACACCUCCAGAACACCUCCUAGAGGUACUAGAGGUGUUUCCUGGAUUAGUGCUGCACAAUGCUCUGCAUGAAGUCACCGAACUUUCCUCAUAUUUCCUAGAUCAAAGGGAAUCUUGAUUCAAUGCAUCUCUAUGAGGAGUUGCUGAUUUGUCAGCACGGCGUUUGGCUUCACCCCGCCCCGCCUGUAGGAAAGCAUUGGAUUGGCUGAGAUAGUCAAUUCUGAUGAUCUCAGCCAGGGAGGCAUAUUGGGGACAGAGCCAAUGCCAGCAGAACCUUUGUAGUGCUGGAGUAAAGGUAAAUGUAUUUAUUUAUUUUUUAAUUUAAAAAAAAAAAUCCCCUUAUUUAAGGGGGCAAGUGUGGGCUGGUGACCUAAAUGGUGAUUUUAACACUAUAGGGUCAGGAAUACACAUUUGUAUAACUAACCCUAUAGUGCUCCUUUAAAAUCCAGGCUCAUAUUUUAAAUCUGUGAACUAUUUCCCCGCUAGGCAGCAUAGUGUUAAAACAUUAGUAAAUACAUUAAAACAAAAUAUACAUGAAGAUAUACAUGAAGUAUGGAGUGGACACGCCAUUGUCCAUUCUCCUAAAUGAGGUAAGUAUUUACAGGUAUUCGAUUUAUUGUGCCUACCCUCACUGUUAUUAGGGUGAGGAGGCAGAUAGAAAUGUCAUAACUGAGGGGAUGGCUAGGGGCGUGUGGACAAUAGGACACCUGGGGUUAAUGCAGGGCAUUGCACUCUCAUUUGUGAGUGUGAACAAUGUCAUGUUUACAUCUCUUUAUUUAGUUAACACACCCCACCCAAAGCCUGUUAACCACCCCUGAUUUAUUUACUAGCCCUCACUGAUGGUUAUAUAUAUCUAAUAUCUAUUUAAUAGGCUUGGUACCCCUAGAUAUCUCGGGUUAUUGGGGGAUUGCACCCUCUUUGGGAGUUGGACAAUAUCCACGUCCUGAGGGUCAAAGACUCUCCCAAUAAUUUACAGGAUGUGACCUUGUUAGCCCUUGGGCCAACAAUGCAUUGGAGAUUAAAAAACAAGGUAAUUUGAGCAUUACGUCUAUUUUCUGUCCGUACUCCCACCUCUGAUGCUCGCCUUCAAGAUUUCUCGAGGGCUGCACCAUUCCUGUGGAACUCACUUCCCUCCUCCGUUAGAUGCUCACUAAGUCUCCACUCCUACAAAAAAUCGUUAAAAACCCACUUCUUCAAAAAAAAGCGUAUCAAUUAAACUGUCAAUAGCUCCUGACUGAUUCCUCUUCUGCAACUGUCAUUAGUCUAAUACUAUCCUUACCUUAUUGUGUCAUUUUACCCCACUCCCUCUAGCAUGUAAGCUAGGGCCGGGCCCUCAACCCCUCUGUUCCUGUGAGUCCAACUUGUCUGGUUACAACUACAUGUCUGUUCGUCCACCCAUUGUAAAGCGCUGCGGAAUUUGACGGCGCUCUAUAAAUAUCAUAAUAAUAAUAAUAAUAAAUUAAAUAAAUUAGAAACGUAGUUAAUUUACAUUGUCACCUUUUGCAAAUAAAGUAAAUAAAUAAAAAUAUAUAUGUGUUUAUGUAUCUAACAUUAUUAGGUAUUUAACAAGUUCAAGCACAAUAAAGAGGAGGAAAUAAUAAUAAUAAUAAACUAGAUCAAAGGGAAACCUUUUGGAUUAAUAAAUGAAAGGACCAAGAGAGUCACCCAGGCCACUUAAUCUCAAUGAAGUGGCCUGGGUGCAGUGGUUCUGUCACUUUAACCCUACAAGGUAAAACACUGGCAUUUUGCAGAAAUAGCAAUGUUUACCUGAAAGGGUUAAACAGCCACUGGAGGAGUCUCCACUGCGCUGAUCGGUCACGUGAUACGGAAGCCCCCAUAGGAAAUGGGGAAGCAUGGAUACGCGUAUGAUGUUCGCUGUGCAUGUGCAUCAGGAUCCCAGUGUUCCCCUACGAGGAGCAUUGGAUUGGACUACGCCAGAGGAGGCUAUGAAAUUGCGGGAGGAAGAGAGGUAAUCGUUGCCAGAAGAGCAAAAACCCGACCUGACCUAUAGAACUAAGGUCAGGAACACUAACAAUUUAGGAAUACAGGUUUGUAUCCAAAUGUUUUAGUAUUCCUUUAAAAAAACAAAAAGCAAAAAAAAACCCUUCAGCCAGAGAAUUAAAUAUAGACAUUGACUUCAGGCUUUUUUUUUUUUUUUUUUAAUCAACAAUUAUUACUCUGAGAUGUAUUCAUAAAUAUAUUUUUCAAUAAACUAUUGCUCUUUUAGAUAUUCAAUAAAUCAUUUUCAAUUUCUAUUUUUGUUAUUCUCAUAUUUGUUUUUUGUAUUUUUUUCUUUCUUUUUUAUUUUAUAUUUUCUGUUUUAUUCAAUGAGGUUUUUUUAUUUAUUUUCUUGUAUUUUUUCAAAUAUUUUGUGCUCAAAUUUUUAUUAUUGCUGUUUAAAUUUUCUUUCUUUUAUUCUUUUCUUUCUUUUUUCUUUUUUCAUUCAGUUAUCUUUUCCAUAUCAGUAUAUAUAUUUUUUAUUUUGUUGUAAUUUAAUAUUUGUUUCAUUAACUUUUUCAUUUUUUUGUUAUUCUCAUAUUUUAAUUCUUUUGUUCAUUUUUGUUUUUCUUUCACUCUUUUGUUUCUUCUAUUUUUUUCUUUUUUUUUCAUUCAAAUAUCUUUUCCAGAUUAGUUUUUUUUUUGUUGUUGUUGUUUUUUUGUUUUUGUUUUAGAAAUUGACCUGCAAUUGGGUCUUGGCAUUAUAUUUAUGAAUACAUACUUACAGGAGAAUGAGGGGUAUAUAUUUUAGUGUCAAUUUUAUAUACUGCAGUUUAUUAAAGAUACACUAUAGGGUCAGGAACACAAAUGUGUAUUCCUGAUCCUACAGUGUUAAAAUAACUAGGGUGAGCGGAGCCUGAUCAUAUAGUGUUAAAAUAACUAUUUAGGUCCCCUGGCUUCCCCUUGACUCCCUUAAACAUUUCAUAAUGCCACGUUAUGUCAGUGCCGCGCAGAUCCGACGGUGCUGGUUCCAACCCUAAACCUCCUUGGCUGACAUCAUCAGAAUUGAUGAUCUCAGCCAAUCACAAUUCUUUCCCAUAGUAAAGCAUUGGAUUGGCUAAGAUUGUCAAUUUAAGUGAUCUCAUCCAAGGAGAAGGGGUGGGAGCGGAGCCAAACACCGGCCUGGCCAUUUAGCAUCUCCUCAUAGAAAUGCAUUGAAUCAAUGCAUCUCUGUGCAAACAUUUCAGUGUCUCAAUGCAUAGCGUAGAGAAGCUGAACGUCAGUGCUGCACAUUGUGCAGCACUGACCCAGGAAGCACCUCUGGUGGCAGUCUGAGGAGUGACCACUAGUAGUGUUCCUAGACUGUAAUGUAAACACAGCCUUUUUUCUGAAAAGACAGUGUUUAAAGCAAAAAGCCAACAGAGACUGACUACAUUCACUAUACAAAUAUUUACCCGCUGGCAGCACUAGAUGCCUUUGGGCAUAGUGUUCAAAUAAAUAAAAAAAUGGACAUGCCAUUUAUCACCCCCUACACAUGGCUCUGACCAGGGUAUUUAUACAUGAAAUAUGGAGUGGACACACCAAUGAACAUUCUCCUAAAUGAGGUAAGUUUAGAUUUUUUGUGCCUAACCUCACUGUUAUUAGGGUGAGGAGGCAGAUAGAAAUUUCAUAACGGAGGGGAUGGCUAGGGGCAUGUGGACAAUAGGACACCUGGGGUUAAUGCAGGGCAUUGCACUCUCAUUUGUGGGGGUGAACAAUGUCAUGUUUACAUCUCUUUAUUUAGAUAACACACCCCACCCAAAGCCCAUGACCUGUUAACCACCCCUGAUUUAUUUACUAGCCCUCACUGAUGGUUAUAUAUAUCUAAUAUCUAUUUAAUAGGAUUGGUACCCCUAGAUAUCUUGGGUUAUUGGGGGAUGGCACCCUCUUUGGGAGUUGGACAAUAUCCACUUCCUGAGGUUGAAAGACUCUCUCAAUAAUUUACAGGAUGUAACCUUGUUAGCCCUUGGGCAAACAAUGCAUUGGAACCUACAUGUUGGAGAUUAAAAAAACAAGGUAAUUUGAUCAUAA
rnacentral:lncRNA from 1 species